GGCCGUCAAACCGUUACCAUUACUGAGUUUCAGUAAUGGUAAGGGUUCCGCGGCCCU
rnacentral:miRNA from 1 species